UUCGAGGUAGUGACGAGAAAUAACAAUACAGGGCAUUUUAUGCUCUGUAAUUGGAAUGAUGGGAAUGUAAAACCCUUCCAGAGUAACAAUUGGAGGGCAAGUCUGGUGCCAGCAGCCGCGGUAAUUCCAGCUCCAAUAGUGUAUAUUAGAGUUGUUGCAGUUAAAAAGCUCGUAGUUGGAUUUCUGUCGUGGUCAUCCGGCUCCGCCCGUAUGGGUGUGCGCCUGGUUUGCCCUCGGCUUUCUUCCGGUAGCCUUCCGCGCUUCACUGCGUGUGUUGGUGUUCUGGAACUUUUACUUUGAGAAAAAUAGAGUGUUUCAAGCAGGCUUGUCGCCCUGAAUACUUCAGCAUGGAAUAAUAAGAUAGGACCUUGG
rnacentral:rRNA from 1 species